AUAAUACUUUUCACAAAAAUAAUACAUAAAAAACAAACAAAUAAAAAAGAAAACACUUUUAAUUUUACAGUACAGUACCUUGAAAAGUACAGUAGUACAGUACAACGGCUGGCAUCCAGGGGCAUGCAUCGAAUGAACAGGCCAGG